UGGCGAUGAUGAUAAAACUUAGGUUGUUUCUCAAAACAUCUGCCUAAGAGCUUUUCGUAUUGCCAAGCUUGAGAGCUAAUGCUGCUAAUUCGAUCCUCGGAUGUCCGAACCA
rnacentral:snoRNA from 9 species